UGAGGAAUAUUGCACAAUGGGCGAAAGCCUGAUGCAGCAACGCCGCGUGAGGGACGAAGGCCUUCGGGUCGUAAACCUCUUUUCUGGGGGACGAGUAAGGACGGUACUCCAGGAAUAAGUCUCGGCUAACUACGUGCCAGCAGCCGCGGUAAAACGUAGGAGGCGAGCGUUAUCCGGAUUUACUGGGCGUAAAGCGUACGCAGGUGGCUUCGUUAGUCGGACAUGAAAGCUCCUGGCUUAACUGGGAGUGGUUGUUCGAUACUGCUGGACUUGAGGUUGGGAGAGGGACGUGGAAGUCCCGGUGUAGUGGUGGAAUGCGUAGAUAUCGGGGGGAACACCAGUGGCGCAAGCGGCGUCCUGGCCCACACCUGACGCUGAGGUACGAAAGCGU
rnacentral:rRNA from 1 species